UAUGGCCACUUCAAAAGUUCAGUUUGCUUAGUCAAACCAGUUGUCUUGGCCAGCAGAGAGAUUGUAAUACAAACCAGCAAAAAUACAAGCAAAUAUAUAUUUUUUGACAGACAUUGUAUUGUGAUGUCAGUGUUAUUUUAUGGUUGUAUGUAAUCAUUGCCAUGUUGUACAAGUACAAGUUUUGAACAAGAUGUCAACAUUGUCACCUGGACUGUGAAUAACCUUACUGAUUGGACAAUAGAACCUACAUACUACAUCACUCUUAUUGACAGCGAACAACCCUCAAAAGUACUUCCAGUCAUUCUCUACAAGACUCCAGACAGCGUCUCCAUCUCUGUUCUGAGACACACUGGUCCCAUGGUGGAGGGGACAAAGUACCAGCUGCAGUGUGACAUCCAGAACAUCGCUCCUCUACAGAACCUGGUUGUGAAGUGGUACAAAGGGAAUGAACCCUUAGAUAAUGUAACUUACAGUACUGUCAGUAAGACACCAGUGGAUGUGUCAGAUACUCUGAUGAUCAGCCCCUGUAGAGAUGAUGAUGGAGCUCAGUAUAGAUGUAGAGCAGAACUGGACCUGGGACCAGAGGGGCCACAACCCCAUCCUACAGUGACAUCAGAACCUCUCAGCAUUACUGUGCACUACCCCCCCAACCUUUUCCAGACCUGAAGCUGAGACCCUGGACAUCAGAGUGGGGGAGGAAAUCACUUUAAACUGCACAGCUACUGGAAAGCCCACUCCUCUGUACAGCUGGCAGUCUUCACAUGUCCAAGAAGCUCUUUUCACACCCCUCUCCAAGCUCCCAGGAACCUACACCUGCACUGCCUCCAGUCAGAUAGGCAAGAUCAGCAAGACUUUCACUGUGAAUCCCAAACCUAUAGGGGGCAGAACAACGUUCUGGGUCAUCAUAGGAUCGGGCCUGGGCCUGACCUUUGUGGUCGUGAUUGUCUAUGUCGUUGUCAAACAGAGAGCAGGUCCCAACUCCAUCAUCUGACCAGGCCAGAGGAAGAGAAUUUCUAUCGUCAAUGUGACCAGCAGGACUUCCUCAACAGACACUGUAUGAAUAAGAAUGGUUGUUUACUGAAUUAUUAUGAUGCAACGCUCCAAUCCAGCAUGGCUUAUAAAUCCAAAGAGUGCUUUCUAUUAGCCUACUCCAACCAAUAGCUUUGUGCCAUUUGUAUGUGGUGUUGUUUUGAAUGAGUCUUGGGCUGUGUCGGUGUGAACAUGUGGCGCGACACUACAAAGCAUUCAUUCACAGGUAUGUGUGUUCUGUUUUAUUAUCAAGCAUGUCUGAAUGUAGUCUCUCUUCUCACGGCCAUUGUGUCUCUGUCACGGAUGUUAAGCGGCUGGGAAAACAGGCUAGCCUGAUCGCUGUAGUCUGAUGACAGCAACAAGUGAUCUUACGUGACUCUACAAUGAGAAAUGAGCCAUGCAAUGCAUCACUUCCUAUCUAAUGCUUUUUUUCUUUCUUGUUGCUCUCAAUUGGUGCUACCAGAGCCUUUUAACCGAUUUAAGUUUACUGUUCCAAGAGCCACAGGAAGCUUCUCUUCACUAUUGCUAAUUUUGUUCUCUGCCCACACUCUUCCAUUUUAUCUCUCUCUUACCUUCACAGCACCCUUGAUUCUCAGUAUUGUCAGUAUGUUUGAUGAUAGCUUUAAUCGUUUGUCUUUCACUUUCUCAACCUAUAUCCGUGGACCAUAGGGAAGUGGACAUGCAUUCCGACAUGAACCCCAUGGACACAGUCUCAGGGCUGUGAGGAGAGAAAGGCCACUAAUGAGUUUUAUCUAUCUCAGGUAUUUUAAUAGGCUACACAGUCAUAUCUCACCAUAGGUGGCUCACAUGGUCCUUUAAGAAGUUGCUAAACUGUGUUAAGUAGAAACAAUUCCCUGAUGAUGAUUUUGUUACUUGCCAAUUCUUUCUGUUUUGACAAGAGUGCAGUGGCACAGUUCUUCAAUAGUUGUCUUUUUCUGUUGAAUCACAAUCCGAGAUUUGGGUUUAUUUUUUAUAAAAAAAUUUAAACCAAUUCAUGCUAGAUAUUUCAAGGUAUGUUUACAGUGUUAAGUGCAAAGUAUGUUCAGUUCACAUUGCACAGGGCUGGAAUAGCAUUGGUACAGUUGGAAAUGGUGCUUGUAAGUUGCACAGAACACUAGUUAAACUAGCUUUUUACAUGGUGAUGUUUGCGUAUUGUGUUGCUAACUAACUAUGUGUAUAUUGCCAUUUGAUUUCAGCACUGAAUGUUGUUAUAUGCCGUCUUUAACAGUCACUAACACUCAUUCUCUACUUUAUUUAGAUAUUUUUGUCAGCUUGCUUAUGUUUAUAUGACCUGUGAUGUGUGUGUUUCCAUCUGACUGCUCUUCUGUUCAGACAUUUAGUUCUCUCUUCGGAAUGUCAAUACUGUCAGGCUCAGCAUUGUGUCAGAGAUUCUGUUUCAGGAAGUGUUCUACUGCAACCUAUUUAGGUGAGAAUGAUGCUGUCUUUCAUUUCAAUAGUGCUGCAACAUUGGUUGAAAGUUUUGCAUCUACAAUGCAGGUGAUGCAUGCAUACACAGCAUUCACUGGCCAAACAUCAACCAGUUAUGCUCAGAGUUAAAGCUUUGAAAGAAUCAGUCUUUCACUGUGACAUGUUCCUCUACUGUCUUUUGUAUGCCAUUGGGAACCUUUCUCUCAUACAUCACUGUAACACUGACACCUCCAUACGAAUCAGUGCAAACUAAAGUCAAUUUAAAGAGAAGCAUGAAAGUCCCUCUGUUAUCCUGCCUACAGUGGCUCAU